rnacentral:rRNA from 1 species
UACGGGGGGGGGCAAGCGUUGUUCGGAAUUACUGGGCGUAAAGGGCUCGUAGGUGGCCAACUAAGUCAGACGUGAAAUCCCUCAGCUUAACUGGGGAACUGCGUCUGAUACUGGAUGGCUUGAAUUCGGGAGAGGGAUGCAGAAUUCCAGGUGUAGCGGUGAAAUGCGUAGAUAUCUGGAGGAAUACCGGUGGCGAAGGCGGCAUCCUGGACCGAGAUUGACACUGAUGAGCGAAAGCCAGGGGAGCAAACAGG